rnacentral:rRNA from 1 species
UACGGAGGGUGCGAGCGUUGUCCGGAAUCACUGGGCGUAAAGGGCGCGUAGGCGGCCUGAUAAGUAGGGGGUGAAAUCCUGCGGCUUAACCGCAGGGCUGCCUUCUAAACUGUCAGGCUAGAGCACAGUAGAGGCAGGUGGAAUUCCCGGUGUAGCGGUGGAAUGCGUAGAGAUCGGGAAGAACAUCAGUGGCGAAGGCGGCCUGCUGGGCUGUUGCUGACGCUGAGGCGCGACAGCGGUGGGGGAGCAAACAGGAU